UCGGCCUUCCAAAGUGCUGGGAUUAGAGGCGUGAGCCACUGUGCCCGGCCAUGCCACAUUAUUUUUAAUUAUGUACAAAGAUCUAAAAUGUCACUCAGGGACCAUUUCAUCCACCACUCUGUUUGGCCACCAGUCUUUUGUCUGUCUCUUCUGCAAUAGUGAGGCGGAUACCCUUUCCUCGGGGAAGAGAAAUCCAUGGUCUGUUGCCCUUGCCAAUAACAAAAAUGUUGGAAAAUCUAGUGGCAAAUCUGUUGCCUUUGGCAUCCUUCACGUAAACCACUUUGAAAGAUCGAGGGUGCCGCUCUCUGUUGAUCACACCAAUUCUUCCCAGGUUAGCACUUCCAGUCACCAUACACAGGUUCCAGUGUCAAUCUUGAUGAAAUCAGUAAUCUUGCCAGUCUCUAAAUCAAUCUGAAUGGUAUCAUUCACCUUGAUAAGGGGAUCAGGGUAGCAGAUGGCGUGAGUAUCAAGAGUCACCAGAUGAGGGAUUCCUUUUGUGCCCACAAAGAUUUUUCUCAGUUUGCAUAACAUGUACUUGGCCUCCUCAGGUGUAAUACGUUGUACAGCAAAGUGACCCUUGGUGUCACAGGUCAGUUGGGAAUUCUCUCCCAUCUUGUCAGUGUUGAUGACAUCCAUUAAUCCAGCAGGGUAGGUUAUAUCAGUUCGGACCUUGCCAUCGAUCUUAACCGCUGUGGGAAAAUCUUUACUUCAACUCCUGUCAGGGCAUACUUAAGUCUCUUCCUUAGGAAAAUGAUGAGGGGUAAACACUCUCUCAACUUGUGGGGACUGGUGGAUGGAUGAGGAGAAACACACCAGUCAAUUUAUCCAACAUUCAAUACUUUGGAGCUGCUAUCCCCUUCAGAUGCUUCUUGGGACCACGAGCCAUGGCUGUGUUAGGCAAGGAAAGAGUUAAUGAUUUUUCAUCUUUUUUUUUUUUUUUUUUUGAGACGGAGUUUCGCUCUUGUUGCCCAGGCUGGAGUGCAAUGGCGUGAUCCCAGCUCACUGCAACCUCUGCCUCCCCGGUUCAAGCAAUUCUUCUGCCUCAGCCUCCCAAGUAGCUGAGAUUACAGGUGCCCACCACCACACCCGGCUAAUUUUUGUAUUUUUAGUAGAGGCGGGGUCUCACCGUAUUGGCCAGGCUGGUCUCAAACUCCUGACCUUGUGAUUCCCCUGCCUCAGUCUCUCAAAGUGCUGGGAUUACAGGUGUGAACCACCGUGCCUGGCCUUGAUCCAUUUUAAGUUCAUUUUAUAUAUGGUAUAAGGUUAGGGUCUAACUCCCUUCUUAUGCAUGUCUAUAUCCAGUUUUUCUGCUAACACUUCUCCCCCACCUCCCACCACAAGCUUUAUUGAUACCUCAUUGACAAAGAAAAACUGUAUAUACUUAAAGUGUGCAAUGUGAUGUUUAGUAUAAACAUUGUGAAAUGAUUACCACUACCAUACUAAUUUAUGUAUCCAUCACUUCACAGUCACCUUUUUUACUGUGUCGAGAACACUUAAAAUCUGCUGUCUU
rnacentral:lncRNA from 1 species